GAGGCGAAGCGAGGCUCGGCUCGGCGGGGGUCGCCCAGCCGGGCAGCGAGCGGGGCGGAGGGCGAGGAAGACACUCCCGCCGCAGAGUAACAGAGUGGGACCCUGUCCUGUCCUGUGAGUCAUGAUUGAAGCCCAAAUAACAGGAGUGAACAGCUGAAAGUUACCACUGCAUCUAAAAAUCUCACUGCCAAAAAAGAGAGCGUUCACUGUAGUCUCCAGCCUUUGUUUUUGACUGACUGUGAUCAGAAGGAAAAUACAGCACUAGACAACAAUACUGUUGGUGCUUUCAGGCAACCAGCAUCUUACAGGGUCUGAAGAGAA